CAGGGCCAGUGCAUCUUGGCUCAUAUGGAUAUUCCAGCUUUAGGUUUUUGAGGAAUCUCUGUGCUGGUGAUUACAGUCUCUGCACAAGCUGACAUUCCCGCCAGCAGGCUUUCUUCCUGCACAGUAUUCAUCAGCACUUGUUUGUGUUCUGGAGAGAAGCAUCUAUCUAGUUUGAUCGUCCAUUUAUUCUUUAGAAAUGGGGGAAGAGUGUAGGUGGUCAGGAUGGGAUGUGGACUCAUGGUCAACACACUUCCCUAAGAAACACCAGCUGCGAUGCUGGACACAGCGACAAAUGACAACAACAUUUCUCAUCAGGGAGGUAAAUGAUGUGGCUGAUGUUUGUGAUUCCGUGGAUGUGCUGGAGCUAGUGUAAGUCAGUCUUGCACAUUGCUGGCUAGAAGAUGCAGGCUGCACUGAAGUACUCACGCAGUGCUGGAGUCUCUACAAUCUAGCCAUCCCAAGGAGACCCAGAUUCCAUUCUGCUUGAAGUCAGAUUCUCACCACUAAGCUUUAGCUGCACCCAAACUUGAAAGAUAUACUUGUACAAGUUAGCACUGCACAACUCCAGGGAGCUCGCUGUUUCAUGAUGGUCCUGGAAUCAUCUCAGACUCUCAUUCUCUCUUCCCAGAUCAGAUUGCUGGAAUAAUCUGGUAAAUAGACACCCAGUGAAGAUACAGACUCUACAGACCCUAAUGACCCUCUGAAGAUCUGCCAGGCAAUGGCCACCAUGGACAGGGCCAAUGUAUUUUGCCAAGGGUCCAACCUGCUGUCUCUUUUGCCUGUGUCUACGCAUUUGACAAUUUUUCUUGUCAGAGAAAACCAUCUAGUCAUCAUUGCUGUUUCCAGAGAAAUCAAGCAAUUUCUUCAAACUCCCAUUAGCAGAUGUUAAAUAAAGCAAAGGCUAGAAGUGGAGAAUGCACAGAAUCCUCAAAACUGAGAGUUGAAAGGGUCUCUAGAAAUCACCCAAGAAUUUCUUUCUCUUUAUAGAAAAUAAAUCUGAGGCUGCUUUCUUGGUAGUGGAAAGCUAUUAAAUGCAGCUCAAGUGUCUCUGGGGUAUACAUCCACUCCCUCUUGGUGCAAAGAUCCCCCACCUCCCAUUCACACACUAUGAUAAAAAUGUGAUAUUGUGCUUGUAUCCAGAAGUAAUAAAGCGUAAAUGUAUGAGAAAAAUGCAUAUUAUGAGUGCAUGCUUUAAUUUUUCUCUAAUGGAGAUCUGAGAAUAUGACUUUUGUUUCUUUAUUUUAUUUUUUGGUGUGUAUGUG
rnacentral:lncRNA from 1 species